ensembl:ncRNA F31B12.6 ncRNA
AUGAUGUUUCUGCAAAAAACAAAAAAUAACUUCCCAUGCCGGGAAUCGAACCCGGGCCGCGUGGGUGAAAACCACGAAUCCUAACCACUAGACCACAUGGGAUGGCGUUACACGCUCUCUCUAACGAAGUACUUGUAACAGAGUGAAAAGAGGAGAGG